GCAGCUGUAAUUUAGUGGUCAUAAUAUUCGCUUUACAACUCUGCCAACGCGAAAGGUCGCCGGUUCGAACCCGGCCAGCUGUA
rnacentral:tRNA from 1 species